rnacentral:rRNA from 1 species
GACGAACGCUGGCGGCGUGCUUAACACAUGCAAGUCGAACGGAAAGGCCCUGCUUGUGUGGGGUGCUCGAGUGGCGAACGGGUGAGUAACACGGGAGUAACCUGCCCUUGACUGUGGGAUAACUUCAGGAAACUGGGGCUAAUACCGGAUAGGAGCGCCUGCUGCAUGGUGGGGGUUGGAAAGUUUCGGCGGUUGGGGAUGGAUUCGCGGCUUAUCAGCUUGUGGGGGGGGUAGUGGCUUACCAAGGCUUUGACGGGUAGCCGGCCUGAGAGGGUGAACGGCCACAUUGCGCCUACGAUACGGACCAGACUCCUACGGGAGGCAGCAGUGGAGAAUAUUGCACAAUGGGCGGACGCCUGAUGCAGCAACGCCGCGUGCGGGAUGAAGGCCUUCGGGUUGUAAACCGCUUUCGCCUGUGACGAAGCGUGAGUGACGGUAAUGGGUAAAGAAGCACCGGCUAACUACGUG